GACGAACCGUGCGAACGUUGUUCGGAAUUACUGGGCGUAAAGGGCUCGUAGGUGGUCAACUAAGUCGGACGUGAAAUCCCUCGGCUUAACCGGGGAACUGCGUCCGAUACUGGAUGACUUGAGUUCGGGAGAGGGAUGCGGAAUUCCAGGUGUAGCGGUGAAAUGCGUAGAUAUCUGGAGGAACACCGGUGGCGAAGGCGGCAUCCUGGACCGACACUGACGCUGAGGAGCGAAAGCCAGGGGAGCAAACGGG
rnacentral:rRNA from 1 species